ensembl:Y_RNA Y_RNA Y RNA
GGCUGGUCCGAGUGCAGUGGUGUUUACAACUAAUUGAUCACAACCAGUUACAGAUUUCUUUGUUCCUUCUCCACUCCCACUGCUUUACUUGACUAGCCUUUU